GAGAAGCAGACUCCCUGCUGAGCAGGGAGCCCGAUGCGGGACUCAAUCCCGGGACUCCAGGAUCAUGACCUGAGCCGAAGGUCUCAGGAUUCUGCCCUCCAAGAAAAUCUUGCCAUGAUUGGAUAGGACCCCCAGAUAAACAUUCAAACCUUCGACCCGUUUACUUUUACGUCCCCGAAAACGAAUCACCGUUGGAACAAAAGCUAAGACAAUUAAGACAAGAAACACAAGAAUGGAACCAACAGUUCUGGGCAAACCAGAAUUUGACAUUUCGUAAGGAAAAAGAAGAAUUUAUUCGCUCAAGGCUAAAAGCUAGAGGCCUGGAACUGAGAGCCGGAUCAGGUCAAAAAGCAACAUUAGAUGCAGAAGAAAUGGCUGACUUUUACAAGGAAUUUUUACGUAAAAAUUUUCUGAAGCACAUGUAUUAUAACAGAGACUGGUACAAGCGUAAUUUUGCCAUCACCUUCUUCAUGGGAAAAGUGGCCCUGGAGAGAGUUUGGAACAAGCUUAGACCAAAACCAAAGACCAGCACCUAGGAGCCCACCCUGACCCGCCCACUCUGACCCUCCCACCACUGCUGUUGGAGUUUUCUGGGAGAAGCGGCUGCUCUGGGAAUCCAUUUUACAAGGGCUCUAAAAACCUGUAAGUGAACUGAGUCCCACACCUACUUUAUGGGGGCCCUCGGCUUAUGUCAGCACAGGGUGGACUGGGAGAAUGGGAAUCCUGGUGAGCUGUGGGCCAUGUGACUCUGUCCUGACUGUGGAUUCCAAGCUGGCCCUGGGUCAUGGACAUGAUGUUAAAUAAAACACAAGCACUGUG